rnacentral:miRNA from 1 species
AUCCUAUAACAAAACAAACUGAUC